CCUACGGGUGGCAGCAGUGGGGAAUAUUGCACAAUGGGGGAAACCCUGAUGCAGCGACGCCGCGUGGGUGAGGAAGUAUUUCGGUAUGUAAAGCUCUAUCAGCAGGGAAGAAAUAAAGUCCUUCGGACUUUGGACGCUACCUUACUAAGAAGCCCCGGCUAACUAUGUGCCAUCAGCCGCGGUAAUACGUAGGGGGCAAUCGUUAUCCGGAUUUACUGGGUGUAAAGGGAGCGUAGACGGCAGCGCAAGUCUGGAGUGAAAUCCCAUGGCUUAACCAUGGAACUGCUUUGGAAACUGUGCAGCUGGAGUGCAGGAGAGGUAAGCGGAAUUCCUAGUGUAGCGGUGAAAUGCGUAGAUAUUAGGAGGAACACCAGUGGCGAAGGCGGCUUACUGGACUGUAACUGACGUUGAGGCUCGAAAGCGUGGGGAGCGAACAGGAUUAGAUACCCUUGUAGUC
rnacentral:rRNA from 1 species